UAAGUGAAUAGUGAAAUCUGACGGCUCAACCGUAUAGACUAUUAUUCAAACUGUAUAACUCGAGAAUGGUAGAGGUAACUGGAAUUUCUAGUGUAGGAGUGAAAUCCGUAGAUAUUAGAAGGAACACCAAUGGCGUAGGCAGGUUACUGGACCAUUUCUGACACUGAGGCACGAAAGCGUGGGGAGCGAACCGGAUUAGAUACCCGGGUAGUCCACGCCGUAAACGAUGGAUACUA
rnacentral:rRNA from 1 species